UACGGAGGGUGCGAGCGUUGCCCGGAUUUAUUGGGCGUAAAGGGCGCGCAGGCGGCCACGCGCGUCCGUUGUGAAAUCGCUCGGCUCAACUGGGCGAGGUCAGCGGAUACGGCGUGGCUGGAGCAAGCUAGGGGGCAAUGGAAUUCCCGGUGUAGUGGUGGAAUGCGUAGAUAUCGGGAGGAACACCAGUGGCGAAGGCGGUUGCCUGGAGCUUUGCUGACGCUGAGGCGCGAAAGCGUGGGGAGCGAUCCGG
rnacentral:rRNA from 1 species